AUUGAACGCUGGCGGCAUGCCUAACACACGCAAGUCGAACGAGUGGCGGACGGGUGAGUAAUGUCUGGGAAACUGCCUGAUGGAGGGGGAUAACUACUGGAAACGGUAGCUAAUACCGCAUACCAUCAGAUGUGCCCAGAUGGGAUUAGCUAGUGGGUGGGGGAACGGCUCACCAAGGCGACGAUCCCUAGCUGGUCUGAGAGGAUGAUCAGCCACACUGGAACUGAGACACGGUCCAGACUCCUACGGGAGGCAGCAGUGGGGAAUAUGGCACAAUGGGCGAAAGCCUGAUGCAGCCAUGCCGCGUGUAUGAAGAAGGCCUUCGGGUUGUAAAGUCCUUUCGUUGGGGAGGCGUUACCCAAAGAAGAAGCACCGGCUAACUCCGUGCCAGCAGCCGCGGUAAUUC
rnacentral:rRNA from 1 species